AAUUCAUAAACUGUCAAUCAAUCAAUGAAUUAUCAUCCUUUCUUUGAUAAUCUUAUGCAAAUAUAUUACAGUAUAUUUUUAGCGCACUGUUUUACAGAAUGGCUUAAAAUGCCUUACUGACUGUUUUCAAUAUAACCCUGUGUAAAUUCUGCGAAUUAAAUGAUUACUUAGGAUCUACUGAUAUACAUUUGAUACAACAAAAUUCAAAAACUUUUUCUGCAGACCGGAUGUAAAUUACAAAAUUGUUUUCUUUCAUACAAAUUUAAAAAAAAAA